rnacentral:rRNA from 1 species
GAAACGACUGCUAAGACUGGAUAGGAAAAGUAAAGGCAUCUUCACUUUUUUAAAAGACCUUCUUUGAAGGUAUACUUAAGGAGGGGCUUGCGACACAUUAGUUAGUUGGCAGGGUAAAGGCCUACCAAGACUAUGAUGUGUAGCUGGACUGAGAGGUUGAACAGCCACAUUGGGACUGAGACACGGCCCAAACUCCUACGGGAGGCAGCAGUAGGGAAUUUUCGGCAAUGGAGGAAACUCUGACCGAGCAACACCGCGUGAACGAUGAAGUAUUUCGGUAUGUAAAGUUCUUUUAUUAAGGAAGAAAAAAGAGUGGAAAAACUCCCUUGACGGUACUUAAUGAAUAAGCCCCGGCUAAUUAUGUGCCAGCAGCCGCGGUAAUACAUAAGGGGCGAGCGUUAUCCGGAAUUAUUGGGCGUAAAGGGUGCGUAGGCGGUUUAAUAAGUCUAUAGUUUAAUUUCAGUGCUUAACGCUGUUAUGCUAUAGAAACUGUUUUACUAGAGUGAGAUAGAGGCAAGCGGAAUUCCAUGUGUAGCGGUAAAAUGCGUAAAUAUAUGGAGGAACACCAGAGGCGUAGGCGGCUUGCUGGGUCUUUACUGACGCUGAGGCACGAAAGCGUGGGGAGCAAACAGGAUUAGAUACCCUGGUAGUCCACGCCGUAAACGAUGAGUACUAAGUGUCGGGUAAAACCGGUACUGAAGUUAACACAUUAAGUACUCCGCCUGAGUAGUACGUACGCAAGUAUGAAACUUAAAGGAAUUGACGGGAUUCCGCACAAGCGGUGGAUCAUGUUGCUUAAUUCGAAGAUACACGAAAAACCUUACCAGGUCUUGACAUUUUCUUGCGAAGUUAUAGAAAUAUAAUGGAGGUUAUCAGGAAAACAGGUGGUGCAUGGUUGUCGUCAGCUCGUGUCGUGAGAUGUUAGGUUAAGUCCUAAAACGAGCGCAACCCUUGUCGUUAAUUGCCAGCAUGUAAUGAUGGGGACUUUAACGAGACUGCCAAUGAAAAAUUGGAGGAAGGUGGGGAUUACGUCAAAUCAUCAUGCCCCUUAUGAUCUGGGCUACAAACGUGAUACAAUGGUUGAUACAAAGAGUAGCUGAAACGCGAGUUCUUAGCCAAUCUCACAAAAUCAAUCUCAGUUCGGAUUGAAGUCUGCAACUCGACUUCAUGAAGUUGGAAUCGCUAGUAAUCGCGAAUCAGCAUGUCGCGGUGAAUACGUUCUCGGGGUUUGUACACACCGCCCGUCA